rnacentral:misc_RNA from 1 species
UUUCCGUAGGUGAACCUGCGGAAGGAUCAUUCAUAAUAAAGUGUUUUAUGGCACUUUUUAAAAAUCCAUAUCCACCUUGUGUGCAAUGUUAGAUCUCGUCAAUCUUGGCGAGAUUUUUAUACAUCAACUCAUUCUUUAACUAAUUUGUCUGAAAAAUAUUAUGAAUACUUAAUUCAAAAUACAACUUUCAACAACGGAUCUCUUGGCUCUCGCAUCGAUGAAGAACCCAGC